AACGAACGCUGGCGGCAUGCCUAACACAUGCAAGUCGAACGAGACCAUCGGGUCUAGUGGCGCACGGGUGCGUCACGCGUGGGAACCUGCCCUUAGGCUUGGAAUAACUCCCCGACAGGGGUGAUAAUGCAGGAAAAUGUCUUCGGAUAAAAGAUGUGUCGCGCUUGGAUGGGCCGGCGUUGGAUUAGCUAGUUGGUAGUGUAAAAGCCUACCACGGCUACGCUCGAUGGCUGGUCUGAGAGGAUGCUCAGCCACUCUGAGACGGAGACCCGGCCGAGACUCCUACAGGAGGCAGCAGAGGGUGAUAUAGGACAAUCGGCUAAAUCCUGAAGCACCAAUGCCGCGAGAGUGAUGAAGGUCGGAGAGAUGUAAAGCUCUUUUACCCGGGACUGUAAUGACAGUACCGAAAGAAUAAGCACCGGCUAACUCCGUG
rnacentral:rRNA from 1 species